UUCAUAAACAAAACAGGACUGCGCAAGUAAUUUCAUUGAAUUCGAGGUGUACUCUCUCUCUCUCUCUGUGGGUGCGGUAAGAGGCGAUAAAACCAGACUGAACCAACCAAUAGGUCCGUCGACCCUCAAAGCAAUACGGUAUGCUGCUUCUACGCUAUCUAGCAAACACAAUGCUUUUCGGGCAUAGUGAUCAGUAAAGUAAAUCCACUUGUUUUUCCACCAGAACGUCUGACUUGGAAUUCUUGAUGCCACGCCAGAUUACUGUUUUUGA
rnacentral:lncRNA from 1 species